UGGAGCUUGGUGUUUGAUUUCCUGAACUGGACUCUGUAUAAGGAUGGCUCUGUCAGGUGAUCUCUCAUGUCACGGUGAAUUGCAGAGUUCAGUUGCAGGAUCUGCACAACGAGCUGCCAAGCAGUCUCUCCUCAUUUGUGGCACUCUAGGCUGUGAAAGGGAAGCAGGGGAGCUCUGUGAGCAGCCAGAUCAUGUUGUAGAGCUGAACUGAGCAAUGCAGGUGGGAGAGGAGCCCGGAGUUCCCGCAGCUGGGGUCAGUAGAAGCGGCACUGCUGCUGAGACAGCAGUUCUUGGGAUCCGGAACAUGGAGGAAUUCACAGAACCUCUCUCUGCUGAUGGGAACAUGCCUGUUAUGGUUCCAAGCAACGACACUUCCAUAGGUGCCUUUCUGGGCUGAGGGAUCAGCAUGCAAAUCACUUCGCUGGAAGAGCUGAGGGAUGGGUUUUAUUCACAGAAACAUCAGCUUAAUUCUUCAGCUGUGUUCAGAGCUGUGCCUCGUGCUACAGCAAGGCGUGGCAAGAGCACUUCAAACAAGCUGUAUGCCUUCCUCUCUGGUUCUGCUUUGAUUCCUUUUAUUUUAUCUUUAAUUUGAUUUUAAAUACUGUAAGAUGACAGAGGAAAGGGUCUCCUUGAGCAGCGUGCUGAAUGCUAACUCUCCCAUUCCAGAUAGACAGCUUGGGAGCUUAAACCAGCACGGCUCGCUUGUUGCAGCAGGUCUAGCAGUUGUUCUUGAAGCUGCAG